GAUGAACGCUGGCGGCGUGCUUAACACAUGCAAGUCGAACGAAGCACUUAUCUUUGAUUCUUCGGAUGAAGAGGUUUGUGACUGAGUGGCGGACGGGUGAGUAACGCGUGGGUAACCUGCCUCAUACAGGGGGAUAACAGUUAGAAAUGACUGCUAAUACCGCAUAAGACCACAGAGCCGCAUGGCUCAGUGGGAAAAACUCCGGUGGUAUGAGAUGGACCCGCGUCUGAUUAGGUAGUUGGUGGGGUAACGGCCUACCAAGCCAACGAUCAGUAGCCGACCGGAGAGGGUGACCGGCCACAGUGGGACUGAGACAAGGCCCAAACUCCUACGGGAGGCAGCAGUGGGGAAUAUUGCACAAUGGGGGAAACCCUGAUGCAGCGACGCCGCGUGAGCGAAGAAGUAUUUCGGUAUGUAAAGCUCUAUCAGCAGGGAAGAAAAUGACGGUACCUGACUAAGAAGCACCGGCUAAAUACGUGCCAGCCGCCGCAGUAAGAC
rnacentral:rRNA from 1 species